rnacentral:ncRNA from 1 species
UGUUGGUUUUGGUUUCCUUUUUUAGAGAUAAACAGGAAUUAAAAGGGAAUCAGGUGCAAUUCCUGAACAGUCCCGCUGCUGUGAACUCUGUAGAAUCGGUCCGACAGGAAUUGCCACUGUAUUUAUUCCGCAAAAAGAAUAUGGGAAGGCAGUCGGACACGAGAGUAAGUCAGAAGACCUGCCAAGACCG